rnacentral:rRNA from 1 species
AGUGAACGCUGGCGGCAGGCCUAACACAUGCAAGUCGAACGGCAGCACAGCAGUAGCAAUACUGUGGGUGGCGAGUGGCGGACGGGUGAGGAAUACAUCGGAAUCUGCCUUAUCGUGGGGGAUAACGUAGGGAAACUUACGCUAAUACCGCAUACGACCUACGGGUGAAAGCGGAGGACCUCCGGGCUUCGCGCGAUAAGAUGAGCCGAUGUCGGAUUAGCUAGUUGGCGGGGUAAGGCCCACCAAGGCGACGAUCCGUAGCUGGUCUGAGAGGAUGAUCAGCCAGACUGGAACUGAGACACGGUCCAGACUCCUACGGGAGGCAGCAGUGGGGAAUAUUGGACAAUGGGCGCAAGCCUGAUCCAGCCAUGCCGCGUGGGUGAAGAAGGCCUUCGGGUUGUAAAGCCCUUUUGUCCGGAAAGAAAAGCAUCGGGUUAAUACCUCGGUGUUCUGACGGUACCGGAAGAAUAAGCACCGGCUAACUUCGUGCCAGCCGCCGCAGUAAUAC